GGCCUGGGCCGCGGGCCUGUCUCCGGCGGUGCCUGCGAGGAGCCCCGAAGGCCGCGGCCCGGGCCCCUGAGAGCGGCCUGGGGCUGGGACCUGAAAUUUGUCCUAUAUUAUAAAGAUCCUCCAUUCUUAUAUGACCAUUAGAAGAAAAUUCUCCUUUUGUGAAACAGCAAAUGUUGACUGAACACAGCAAACAUUCUAGGAUUCAAAUUCUAAACUGUGAUCGGAAAAAAAAGUCAUUAUUGUACCAUGAAACAAAAGCACUUUAGAAGAGUAUGCAGAUGCUGGAGAUGGACUCUGAUAUGACAUGUAUUUUCCUGGAAAAAAAAAAGAGACAUGAAUAUCAAUAAUUCCAAUUCACCCCAUUCUCUAAUACAGAUUGAGAAUCAAGUUUCCAGAGUGGCAAUUGUGAGGAACAGUCGGUUAUGGGGUCAGAAAGUUCCAGUCAAAGAGAACAGAACACUUGGGCUGCUAUUUCUCAAUGAACCCCGACCCUCUGCGGUCCCUGAAGGGCCAGGCAGCACGCUGCUGUGAGGGGCAAAGGGUCAGCACCCGAGGGCCUGCAGUUUGAACAACCUUGGCGAUGCAUCACCUGGUAAAGGAACAGGCCACUCAACAUCUCAGAAAGGUCAGGUAAACUCCUACCAGGCGUUUGGUUCUGUAGCCGGGUGGGGCUGCAGGUGGGCAGUGUUGAAUAUAAAACUGAAAAGAGCGAGACGGCAAAGGGAGGAGAAAAGCAACAGGGCAGAGAAUCAGGUGUGUUACACUGAGGUGCAGCAGGCCUGACCAGCCCCACAGAGGGAUGCUGCAGUUAGGAGACGUGGGAACAGCCUGUAGCCGCGGGCUCCGCUAAACCAGACGUUAUCUCCUUUCCUCCUCACACAUGCAGACUUAUGGUGCUGAUCAGACAGAGAAAAGUAAGGGUGAGGAAACCAAGGCAUAUCUGUGCAGGGAACCAAACGUGCAUCAGGUCUGCAACCACGCUGUGAACAUAGCUUGUGCCUCAAAUUCCUCACACUAAGUAGUAGCCUGCCCUCUGCUGUUGGCCGGGUGAAUGACACUCUAGUUACUACAGAGGAAACUGCUGAGAGAAGAGGAAGUCUCAGACAGAGCUUUCUGCCAGAUACCCUCAUUUAACCCCUGGUCACAGAGUCAGUGGGCAGGACAGUCAGUUGGUUAUGAGGUAGUUGUAGGGGGAUGGUGUCCUGGGGGGCCUCCAGCAAAAGGAUUUAGAAUUGCAUUGGAAUUUGUAUGGGUUAUCUUAAAAAGAGUCAACCCCUUUGGGGCUGCUGACCUGAAACAGUUGCAGGGCCUCAGAAAAGUUCUAGAAAAAAAUGUUUCUCUAGAACUUCCACAUUUUGGACUGCUUUAUGUUUUUAGACAUGUAAAAGAAGUGUUAUGAAAAUUUUAUGCUUUUGGGCCUCCCUGGUGGUGCAAGGAGUUAAAGCACUGCACUAUGAAGCAAUCCGCAGCCUCUGCAGCACGAGUUUGAUCCCUGGCGAGCCAGGGAGCUACCCACAUGGCGAGGCAGACCUCUCCUGACUUGCCCACUGCUCCCCUCAGCAGUGUAUUUCAGUCCGUCUGCCUGUUCUGUUCCCCGCUCUGUCUCUGGUGAAUCCUUUCACCCCUGCAUCUCUGGCCUGCACCCCAGCUCUUGUUUGUAUAAAUAAAUAAAUCUUAAAAAAGAAGAAAAUUUUAUGCUCUUUAAAUCAAAUUUUGAACAUAUAGGACUAAUCAAAGAAUAAAAUUAACAGUACAUUUUACUUUUUGGUCAAAUAUAGCCACUGUUUAUUGCUGUUUUGCUGUUUUACUGCCAGAUUUUAUAAAAGUAUAAAA